GGCUUUAAUCUCAGCCACAGGCCGGCAGAGAGAGGACUCCAUUGCUUGGCUCCAGCGAUUGGGAUAAAAGAGAGGAAGACUCUGUCCUUCCUGGCCGACCACCCAGAAAGCCUGGAGAGGCAGGAAGGACCCCAGCCUGGGGGAGCUUGCAGCCUCCCUGUGGGCAGGUGGAAGGUCUCCUCUGUAACUGCCACCCUCCUGCAGCCUUGGACACUCCUUUUACCUCUGUCAUCCUGCUCCAGGGCAGUUUCCUCCUGUGUGAGAAAGCUGUGAGAUCGGUGAGCUCAGUCGGCUACAACAGAUAUUUCCUGCACCUCCCACGUGGACACCACCCUGGUCUCCACGUGGUCCUCUCCGUCGCUGGGAUGAGAUACCCGGGACAAUCCGCUUCAAGGAAGAAACACGUGUUUUGUCUCCUGGCCUCAGAGGUCGCGGUCAGCCCGUGGCGACGUGGACCGUCGUGGAGGAGGCACGGGGCGGAGCCACUCUCACUCCUGGCAGGCGGCUGCAGAGGGAGCGCCCUUUACAACAGCCCCUUCCCCACCCGCUGGGCUGCGGACCGUUAACCCUGAAAUCCACCCGCUAGGCCAGAGCCCUGGUGACCCGCUCACUUCCCCAAAGCCCCCAUGAACACCCUGCGCUGGGGACGGAGCCUUCAGUCACCAGCUUUGGGGGACUUUCCAGAUCCAAAGGAGAAGGCCGGCUCUUGAGGUUUGUCAGCUGCUGUCAUCUGGCCAGGGGCCUUGGUGCAGGGCAGACACCGGGGCCCAAUGGCUGUGUGGUGCACAGGGCUUUGGCCGGACUGGGCAGGCCGUGGUCAGAUGAGCGUGGGCCGUCUCCUCUAAGGCUGGAUUCCGAUUGCUGGUGCCGUCCAGAGUGUCUCAAUCAUCGCUGAAGACAACAAGUGGGCUUUGGUGCUCUCCUCUAAUUUUAAGG
rnacentral:lncRNA from 1 species